GAUGAAGAACGUAGUGAAAUGCGAUAACUAAUGUGAAUUGCAGAAUUCAGUGAAUCAUCGAGUCUUUGAACGCACAUUGCGCCCCCUGGCAUUCCGGGGGGCAUGCCUGUCCGAGCGUCAUUGCUGCCCUUCAAGCCCGGCUUGUGUGUUGGGUCGUCGUCCCCCCCGGGGGACGGGCCCGAAAGGCAGCGGCGGCACCGCGUCCGGUCCUCGAGCGUAUGGGGCUUUGUCACCCGCUCGAUUAGGGCCGGCCGGGCGCCAGCCGGCGUCUCCAACCUUCUAUUUUACCAGGUUGACCUCGGAUCAGGUAGGGAUACCCGCUGAACUUAAGCAUAUCAAUAAGCGGAGGA
rnacentral:misc_RNA from 1 species